rnacentral:rRNA from 1 species
GACGAACGCUGGCGGCGUGCCUAAUACAUGCAAGUCGAACGAACUCUGGUAUUGAUUGGUGCUUGCAUCAUGAUUUACAUUUGAGUGAGUGGCGAACUGGUGAGUAACACGUGGGAAACCUGCCCAGAAGCGGGGGAUAACACCUGGAAACAGAUGCUAAUACCGCAUAACAACUUGGACCGCAUGGUCCGAGCUUGAAAGAUGGCUUCGGCUAUCACUUUUGGAUGGUCCCGCGGCGUAUUAGCUAGAUGGUGGGGUAACGGCUCACCAUGGCAAUGAUACGUAGCCGACCUGAGAGGGUAAUCGGCCACAUUGGGACUGAGACACGGCCCAAACUCCUACGGGAGGCAGCAGUAGGGAAUCUUCCUCAAUGGACGAAAGUUUGAUGGAGCAACGCCGCGUGAGUGAAGAAGGGUUUCGGCUCGUAAAACUCUGUUGUUAAAGAAGAACAUAUCUGGGAGUAACUGUUCAGGUAUUGACGGUAUUUAACCAGAAAGCCACGGCUAACUACGUGCCAGCAGCCGCGGUAA